rnacentral:rRNA from 1 species
UACGUAGGGGGCAAGCGUUGUUCGGAAUUACUGGGCGUAAAGGGAGUGUAGGCGGGAGGGUAAGUUAGAAGUUAAAUACUCAGGCUUAACCUGAGAUCUGCUUUUAAGACUGCUCUUCUUGAAUAUGGGAGAGGGUGAUAGAAUUCCAGGUGUAGCGGUGGAAUGCGUAGAUAUCUGGAAGAAUACCAGCUGCGAAGGCGGUCACCUGGCCCAAUAUUGACGCUGAGGCUCGAAAGCUAGGGGAG